UCGAACUUACGACUGCCUGCUUUUCUUUUUUUUUUUUCCUUUUUUUGGUCUUUUUCCUUUUUAUUGGUACCGGGGAUUGAACUCACGACUGCUUGCUUUUCAAGGCAGGCACUUAUGCAGCUGAGCUAAAUCCCCAGCCACUUGUUUUGUUUUUGAGACAGGGUCUUGCUAUGUAGUUCAGGUAGGCACUGAAUUCCGGCGAUCCUCCUGUCUCAGCCUUCUCAGUGCAGCUGUGUCCCACCACAUGGAGACUCCAAAGAGCAUGAGCCUGGCUUACUACAGCAGAAAACCCCCAUGUCCCUGCCGCCAAGCUGGGCCUUAGGAGCCCAGGCCACUUCCCAAAGCAGGUGGGGAACUCCUUCCACUGGCCCAAGUGUCCCUAGGAGGCACAGAUUGAAGCUCUGGGACAGUGGGUGGAGGUGGCACUGGCACCGAUGUCCUCCAAAGGCCUCUACCUCUUCCAGCCCUCAGAAGGAGGCCUCAAGAGGCAGGGUGCCAAGUGUCCCUCUUCCCGGGGCAUAGCAGGCAGCCAGCUCCUGGGGGUUCCUCUGGGUGGGUAGGGUCUGUGCCACCCCAGUUCUCCCUCCCUGGCAUUCUCAGCUCAGCUCAAGGAAGCCCCUUCUCUCUGCCCCUUGCAUGCAGCAGAGACCAGAGAGAUGGAGAAGAAAUGUCCCUUCCCAAGGCAGUGGGCCUAGGGGCUGGGGUCCCAGCACCACCACCAUCCUUGCCGGGGCUGUCAUGGGCUGUGGACACCUGGAGCCAUGCAAAGCACAGGUGACUCCUAGAGGGUGGCACGAGGAGUGCGUCGGUCAGUGACCCCAGAGAGCAUGACAGUCACACUGGGCCAAGGCUUGCUACUUCGACCGAGCUGAAGCAGCCACUUCCAUCAUGGGGCUGUGAGGGAGAUGGCAGGAUAAUGUUAUGCAUGGUGAGAGGAAGCACUCGGGAGGCUGAAGCAGGAGGAUUGCCAGAGUUCAAGGUCCACCUGGACUACACAGUGAAUUUAAGGUCAGCCUGGACUGCACAGUGACACUCUGCCUCCCGAACAAAAUGCAAAGGUCACAUUGCCAAGGUAGCCUUGGGUGCCAGAUUAAGGGCUGACCUAGGCCCUGUCACUUCAUCCCCUAAACACACAGAGCUCCUGCCCUCCACCCGCAGGGGCAAGGACAGGGACAGUUCUCUCAGCCAUGGACAGGUGACAGGGAGCCACAGAUGACCUCAGCUGCCACCUGUGAAACAUACUGGUCACCGCGCAGGCAGCUUACGGCUAAGGAAGCUUUCAAGCUUGGGGAGCACCAGUCACCUCUGUGUUACCCGGUGGGGCAGGGGGUGACAAGCCCAGGUUCCCAAGAGGACAGAAAACACCCCACAGCAGCACCCAGAGCCACUGAGGAAACCAAGUCCGCAGGUAAAAAUUAGGCUUUUAUUUGAAUCACCAGGAGAAAGAUUCACUUGUGGUUCAAGUCAAAUGUUCAAAAUCCUAACAGGCCUGAAAGACCAGACUUGGGGCACAAGCCCACGAGGGAGGGGACCAGACAGACCGGGAAGAGGACAACCCCAUGGA